CUUCUUUAAGCUCAGUAACUCGUGUGUUCGAGGGUAGCAAAAGGUUAGCAACGGGAUAUCGUGCUACUGCUGCUGCUGAUGCUGCCGCCGCCGCCGCCAUUCCUGCUGUUUUUUUAAUGGAUUUCAAAGGUGAGGAAAUGGCGAACAAUUUUUACUCCCUCUGAAGAGGAUGCCAGAAACCACAGGCAACCCCCCUCCCCCGCCGAACCAGAUCCCUUUCCUUAGACUUCUGAAGUGAACAGGAGUCAAUCUGUUUGAAGUGCAGAGACAGCCUCAAGGAGAGGGGUGGGUGCUAACUUCCUACAAGGUCAAAGGAACUUCCUGCAGAGCUUAGAGACAGAAUUAUUUCUGCUGCACUGAAGGUUCCGAAGAGCACAGUGGCCUCCAUAAUUUUCAACUGGAAGAAGUUUGGCACAAUCAGGACUCUUCCAAGAACUGGUCACCUGGUCAAACUGAGCAAGAGAGGGAGAAGGGCCUUAAUGAGAGAGAUGAUCAAGAACCUGAUGGUUACUCUGAGCUCCAGAGAUCCUGUGUGGAGAUGGGACAGAUUUCCAGAAGGAUAAUCAUCACUGCAGCUAUCCACUGAUCUGGGUGGCUAGACAGAAGCCUCUCCUCAGGGCAAAACCCAAAAACCACCUGAAGGAUGACACUGUGAGGAACAAGAUUCUCUAGUCUGAUGAAAUCAAGAUUGAACAGUUUGGCCUCAAUUUUAAAUGUUAUGUCUGAAGAAAACCAGGCACUGCCUAUCACCUGCCCAACAUCAUCCCAAUAAUGAAGCAUGGUGGUGAUGGCAGCAUCAUGCAGUGGGGGGGGGGAGGGUAUCAGAAGCAGGGACUGGGAGACUGGUCAUGAUUGUGAGAAAGCUGAAUGGAGCAUAUCCUCAAUGGAAAUAUAUUCCAUGGCACUCAGGACUUCAGACUGGGCUGAAGGUUCACUUUCCAACAUGACAAUGAUCCUAAACACACAGUCAAUACAACACAGGAGUAGCUUAGGAACAACUCUGUGAAUAUCCUCGAUGGCCCAGCCAGAGCUCCAACUUGAACCCUAUUGAAAUCUCUGGAGGGACCUGAAAAAGGCUGUCUACUGACGGUCACCAUCCACCCUGACUGAGCUUGAGAGGAUUUUAAGAAAGAAUGGCAGAAAAUCCUCCCAAUCCAGAUGUGCAAAGCUUGUCGGGUCAUACUCCAAAAGACUGGAGACUGUAAUUGCUUCCAAAGGUGCUUCAACAAAGUACUGAG